rnacentral:rRNA from 1 species
UACGGAGGGAGCUAGCGUUGUUCGGAAUUACUGGGCGUAAAGCGCACGUAGGCGGCUUUUUAAGUCAGGGGUGAAAUCCCGGGGCUCAACCCCGGAACUGCCCUUGAAACUGGAGAGCUAGAAUCUUGGAGAGGCGAGUGGAAUUCCGAGUGUAGAGGUGAAAUUCGUAGAUAUUCGGAAGAACACCAGUGGCGAAGGCGACUCGCUGGACACAUAUUGACGCUGAGGUGCGAAAGCGUGGGGAGCAAACAGG